GAUAUUAUUGGUGAUGAUAAUGCUCCAAGUUUCUUUACUAUUAAUCAGAAUGGACUUGUUACUGUUAGCAACCAGUUUGCCAAUGAAAAUACCAAUCAGUUCAGGAUACGCAUAAGAGCCAGAGAUGGCGCUGCUAUAUUUAAGUUUGCUACCACUGUUUGUAUCAUCACUGUGAGAACAAAUUUCGCAGCUCCAGCUUUUGAUUCUUCGAGUUAUUCAGUGUCUGUUUUAGAAACCCGUCCUAUUGGUGAUGUGGUACUCAGAGUCAAUGCAACAGAUAACGAUCCAUUGGCACCAAACAAUGUUAUACGUUACAGUAUUGUGGAUGGACCAGAAGAUCUGGAAUGUUUCUCAAUGAUUGCUGAAACUGGUCAGAUAGUUACAAGGCGUUCUCUGAAUUACUCUCCCUGUAGACUAGC